CGGGCUUGACGUCGGGUGUGGAAAAGAUCUCCACCCAGGGGGUAGAUUCAGUGAAACCCUAGACCAAUGGCCUGCCCCGCUCUGCGUCUCUCCUCCAAUCCCAUCCCGUGCUGAUCCUCCCCAACCCCCUCUACUCCAACUCCGGCGAGGCGGCGGCGGCAUCAGCCCGCUCAAGCUCCUCCGUGCCCCUCCGUCCCGUCCUUCUCACGCUGCUCCAAGUCUCUUUCUCCUCCAAUCCCCUCCCGUGCUGCUCCUCCCCAACCCCCUCCACUCCAUCUCCAGCAAAUCAGCGGCGGCCGCGUCCUCCCGCUCGAGCUCCUCCGCUCCCCCUCUGUCACGUCCUUCUCACACCGCCAAAAUCGGAUGGCCAACUCCGCAGAAGACAUCGAAGCGAGGCAGGCGCGGCUACCCAUGGUCGCGAGGAUUACCAGUCGCUCGCACCACUGCCGCCGCCACUGCAGGUCGCCUCCCCAUCUCCUCUGUGUAAGGUUCAGAAGCUGGAUGAGCUUCGUCUCCUCCAAUCGGAAGAUCCCGCCAUGCUCCUCGAGUCAGAGCUGCGGGCCAACGGAUCCGCCCAGAUCCGAGGCGGUGGAGUCACAACACCCAUCUCCGGGGCGAUGGAGUAGGAGCAGGUAGCGUGUAAGCUCGAUUGCAGUGUCCUCUCGGCAAUCAGUCCUGCAACCUUGCCAGCCCCAGUUGAUGCACAGUUUGAGACAGUAGCGGUGACAGCAGAUUGGGAGAAGACAUUCCUCCAGGCUCCAUCCAUGUAAGCCGGAUGUGCUGGUGAUGUGCUCCACCUCUUGCUGGCACAACUGGACGAGGACUUCAAGGUUAGGUUCGGUGGUGGUAGUGGGUUGCAGGAGGCAGUGAGACCAGAUGUGUGGCAACAAUGAUAGCGGCACAUUGAGUUCAGCUUGCAGCACAUCUUCCCGGAUAUAACACCCUGCAAGUUGAAGUGUAGAUGCACAUUGCCACAUACCAUCGACUGAAAGCAAGGUGAAUUAUUGGGUGGCCACUACCGUUGAGAAGGCAUGUUGCAGAACUUGCUCUAUACAUGUAAAGAUUAUUUAUACACAUGCUUGGGUGCCUAUGUGCGUUAAUUUUUCCUGGGUCUUUUCAAUUGUUGAUGGAUGGUGGCGAUCAGUUCCAAGGUGGACGUGAGCUCCUGCUUCCUUUUUCUUGAUGGUUAUUCAGUCAUGUAGGCUCUAUACUUAAUUCCCUUCAAAUAUAUUUCUUCUUUUUGCAGUGAGUCGUUCCACCUCACAGUAUUGCGCAACAGACUAUUGGAACUGAUUUUGUUUUGCCUUCCACUCUGGUUACUCUGAGAUUGGGGCAUCAUAAGUUCCUGACAUUUUUCAUCAAUCUGCACCACACCCCUCAUUUUUCAUCUUCACUUUAAGAUAAUGUUUCCUAUAGAGUAUACGGUGCAGUUCAAUCGUUUAAUUUAACUCUUCUAAACUGUUUGCCAUUUUGACACUCAAGUGUAUGGUUCACAAUUUCUCCGAAGAACGUUUGCUUGGAGAACCAUGUCUUUGUUGCAUCAUACUAUUGAGUUUUCUAAAUUGUGUAUGCUCUGUUUUUUUUGCCAGAUAUUAUAAUGUGAAUAAAUAAAUGAGCUGAGACGAAUAACAUUUUUUGGUCGACUUAGCUUUUGUGAACUCCUUUUAUUCCUUACAUUGCUUGGUGAAUAUGUUUUUUGUUUCUCUAUAAUUCUUUGCUAUAUUGAUGUAUUCUUGAUCAACAGGAAAAGUCAUACUAGGAUAUACGUCCAGAUUAUUCAGUUUGGUGAUUCUGGUUAUAUGCCUCAUACAUGGUUACUGAUGUUGUCCGUACUCAGGUCCCUUUCCAACUUUCCUUGCUUCUUCUCUUUCACCUUGAAGAAUGUCCACUUCUAAAACUGUGAAUGCUGUGUCUCGGGACCUGAAGAGGAAGUUUUUGGCACUGCAAUUCAAAUGGGCCUGAUUGAGCAUGUGUGAUGGAGUCAUGGGAUUUAAAAAUCAUAUGUCUCAUGCUUGGCUGUACAAAUUAGGGACUCACGACUAAACGUUGACAUUUGGAGACUAUACAACAGCUUUCUUCGACUUGUCACCGAGCCAGUAGGUUGGCGACUCGACUUGACUCGCUGACUCAAAAAACUUGGCUAGGUUUGCUCUUUGUCUGUGCAGCGAUAGGAGGCUUUGAAAAUUUUGAAUGGAGCACAACCCCACUUCGAAGGAACAGUGCAGCUUCUAUGUUUUUUGCUGCUGGUUAUUCCUUUGUGCUCCUUAGCCAUGAACUUCAUUCUUAGUUGUCUCACUUUGACAUCUAUAUACAUUGUUGUCCACUCUUGCAUGCGUUCGCUGUUGUGUUUUUGACCUUUUCACUCUAGGUUUGCUCUGGGUUUAGUUACAUUGUAUAUUUUGGAAGCCAUAGCAAUGAUAAUUAUGUAGGAGCAUUCUUUGGUCUUUCAGUUUUCCAACUAAUUUUUAAGGAACCAUGAAAGACCGAACAUUUUGGAUCUUACUUUAGGCAUCCAUAAUACCCUACUUCUAUUUCACAGGUGAAUUCGUAUCCCAACGGACAGAGGAUUUACAGCAAUUGGUAUUGGACGUGAAGAAUUUUCUCACCCAAUGGUUGAUGUUGUUGAAUCAGUUCUUCAAGAGCCAAUUCCCAAGGCUGGAGUAUCUGUGAACUGAAGAGGAAUGACGAGGAAUUUUUCGUUCUCGGCCCCUUUGAUUUGUUGGUAUAAAUGUCCGAUGUUGUUUGUAUAGUGUUGUCAAAGAGGGUAGUGUUUUAUCUGUCAAGAGAGCCCUGUUUUGGAGUUGCCUCCUCAAAUUGGGUCUGAAGAGGUUGGUUCAGAUAGGGAUUUGAACCCACCACCUGACCUGCCUAAUGAUAAAAGGCCGCUAUCAUAGAAAGUUGCGGCAACUGUGGCAAAUUUUCAGACAAAGAUCAAUAGCCUGGAGGGGACCUUAGGUUGGCACUUUAGAUGGCUCAAAUCACCUUGUUUUUAUGCCGAAGACCUGGAGAAAAGGGAAUAGGUUAAUUCUAAAUUUGAAGAUGAGCUUGGAUAGCGGGUGCAGAACCUGAAUUUGAAGAUGUGCAAUGCUAUUUCUCGAUUACAAUGGCAAAUUGCAUUACAAUUACAUCUUAGGCUGUGGGCUGCUGCAGGCAUAUGCACUAUAUUCAUCACAUUUAUAUGUUCUGUUUCGAUUAAACUGGACCUAGGGAUGACAAGACUGUUAUCAUCUGAUCAGGAGAGUGUUGCUCCAGGAAUCGCCGCCUCGGAUUGGGUCUUAAGGUGUGCUUCAGUUGGCACCUCCGGUUGAGUUUGAAGAGGCCAAUAAAUAUCACUUUGGAAAUUUGGUCCUCAGUGAGGCAACCAAAUAUGAAGUAAAGAUUAAGGAGAAAGCAAGGACAAUAAAAGCCACUUUUAUGUAACAAAAGCCACUUCUGGAUGAUAGUUGGUUGAAUAUAAGUUCUUCUCAAAUAAUGAUUUCGUAUUGGUUCCUUCCUCCAUUACUCUCUAAGCUAAAUAGAAAGUGUUUGACAUAAUGUUUGUCCGUGUAAAAGAUGGAGCACGAACAUCAUAGUAAAAAAACAUAAGGCGUAGAUCUUAUGCCUUUUACAAUAUUUUGGUUGCACACUGCCACUGAGCUCAGCAUUUUGCAUCUAUUUGUAUAUUGGUAUAUUCGUUUUCUUUUGCUACAACUCCCGAACUAUACAAUGGUUAUAUUGUGUAUCUGUCUAAGAGAU